UUAAAGCCCAUUGCUGCUGUUUAAGAAUUGCACAGGUGGAGAUGGAAUAUUUCAGUUAUUGAGGCUCAAAGUUCCCAAACACCUAUCUGUUAUUUUAGAAACCUCUUAGUGAUAUCUUUACUUUCAUCAUACUGGUGCUGUUCACGUAUUGGCUGUUUGUAAAACACUUUUGUCUGUUUAAAAUAUUAUUUUGAGAGAAAAACCAUGACAGAGAUAGCCACAACAGUGCAGACCAGCUUCUGACACUUGCAGUGCACUGCAUGACAGGAAGCAAGAGCAAACCGUGUGGCUGCAUGGGGAGGAGUUCCUGCCGAAAACUGAGGGACAGACAUAGGCGCUCCUUUGUAGCAAAGGCUUUCCACUGUCACGCUGAAAAUUAAGGAACCUGCUAAAAUCUGAGUACGAUACAAAAUAACCCAUGGUGUGGUGCUGCUUAUUUGUGCAUCAUCAGCACAAACAUACAAGGCCAGGAGCUGCAAAUUCAUCACCUCAGCUUGCCGAAGACUAAGGAAUCCAGGGACUGCUUGCAUGCUGACUGGUUAUGUUACUUGGAGACAUACAGAACUGGAUCUGACAGAUCCCAGCUGAAAAGUGUUUGAAAGAAGAACAGAAGCUGAGACUAAAUAGUGUAUGGACUCUUUUAUAUUGCAUCUUAUUUUUUAUUUAUAUAGUAGGUGAGUUUAAAAUUAUUAGAUAUUGAUUGUGUUAAUUAGAAGCAUAGUUUAUGUAGGAGUGUUCAGAUUCUGGCUGAAAAAGGAUUCUCAUGCAACAAAAAUCUCCUGUGGAGAAGAAAUAAAUGUGACUUAUUUAGCUGAAUUUGCUUUGGACUUUACUGUAAAGUUUGCAGAAAUGUUAGUGUAUUUAAAUGUUCUAGAUUCCAGUUACUGGUCCUCUCCCCUGUCUUCUAAAAAGGGGAAGGAAGAAGGUUAAAUAAAGACAAAGUAAAUACCAGUCCUCAAACAAAGCUGUGCUAAUCCUUGUCCUUACAGCAUCCCGUACAUGCACACCCAUUUCCUGUUGUUCAUGUUAAACACAUUGAACAUAACUUUCAUUUCAUUGUUCACUUCAGUGUUCCUUUUACAUUACAUGGACCGGAAAAUCUCCAAUCCAUCACAAGCAGUGCAGAAGCAGAGCCUGCUGGCUGUGGUGAAGGGAGGCUGCCAAGGAGCUGCCAUUUUGGCCAGCAGAGAUGGAAGUGUUUGAGAAGUAUGAAAGUCAUCAGUGGCAGAGAUGACCUCCCCACCAUUGCAGUUUUUGCUGUUCUGUAACAGAGUCUGUUUUUUCAUUUGUUUGUUUUCUUUGGAAUAUCAGGAACAAGCAAGUCCUGUUCCUAACACCAGUAUCCAGGGCUCCUGCCAGCUGAAUGGGUGCCGGGUGGGAAACUGGACUGAUACCAGUCUCUGUGCAGACACAUUUCUAAGAAUUUAGAAUGGAGAGAUGAUUUAACAAAAGUCAGCAGCUCUUCUGAAAAGCAUUUCCUUCACCAUCACAGGAUGGGUUUUGUCAAACUAUUUUUGUGCAUCUUUGCAUUUCAUCUCCCAGGUGGUAAAGUAUAAAUCUGUGAUAUUAGUAAUUAAUACCCGGUGAUGGAGACUGUGUUAAUCCAGCCUUUCUUAUAACAAUAAGGAAUAAUGUCUUAUUGCUCUAAUUCCUUUAAUGAAAUAAAUACUUUAAUAUAUAAUUGGAUAUCUUACCUUCUCAUCUCCUGUGAGAUAAUUAUAGAAAGCAACUCUUUCCUGCUGUGCUAAGGCCAGGAAGUGUCCUGGCUCUGUAACUGUGGAUGUAGGCAAAGCCUUUUGAGCAACAGUAACACAAACAUGAGGAUUCAAAAUUAUGAUAGAAAAAGCUUUUUCAGCCUGGAGGUACAUGUUCAGAUGCAGGUAAUGCACCUGUGUGGUCAGUCAGAAAACACAAAUACAUUUCUCAUCAGAGCGUGUACUUGCUACUAUUUUCAUACAGGUGUAUACCCGUUUUUUAAGGUCUCUAAAUACUGUGCAAAAAAAAGUUAUCAAAGUGUUCCAAGCUUGCCUGUUUUCCCAGCACAGCAAACAGGAUCAUAAUGUUUUUCAAUUUAGUUUGGUUCAUGUACAUACAAAUUCUAAUAAAGAGAUGCUCUGUGGUGAGAUGGCA